rnacentral:rRNA from 1 species
CCUUGUGGCUUUAGCGGAGAAGUAACACCUGUUCCCAUCUCGAACACAGCAGUUAAGCUCUCCUGCGCCGAAGGUAGUUGGUAAAGAUAAUACCUGCAAGAAUAGGUCGCUGCAAGGA